GUCGGGAGGGGCGAGUUAUCCUUUUACUGGAAGAAGACGCCACCACUCAGUCACUCCACUCACUGGGACUUCUUCACCAGUGAGGUGACGCCACCGGCCCGGUUUUGCCGGCAUUCCCAAGUUCAACCAUUUAAGCGGCAUUUUCCGGUAUCGCUGUGAAGCAGGCGAAGACGCAAGCCAAACCGGCUCCUCGCUGCAGCAACAGGGCGCCCGAGCCAGCCAGCUGCCAGUUCACCAGCGAGCGAGAUGCCCGCGUCGGCUCCAGCUCGGAGCCUCGAAGGGAAGAAACGCGACGGGCGAACCGAGACGCCGAGCCUCUUGGGCGGCACAGAAUGCGAAUGGUGACGAGACGACGGAGUCUACGACUACAAGACGAACCGAGAGGAUGUAGCGUCACCGCCGCAGCUUUCCUAACUAACGUCCGUAGAGUAGAAGAUAGAUAGCCGAGGAGGAGCUAGCUUCACUAACAUUUACAUGUAAAGUUGCUCGUGGGGGCGGCCGGGGGGGAGGCGGAUCUGUGGAACCAAAGCCGCCUGGAGAGUUGUGGGAAUCAAGAUGCUACGAAGAAGCCUCAACCGACUGCUUAAAGGCGAUGAAAGAAGAGUAGACAGUCGGACUAUCUACGUUGGUCAUCGGCCAUGUUCUGCUAGCGAGCCUUUCAUCCCGCCAAAGUUUUGUGACAACAGAAUCGUGUCGUCCAAGUAUACCGUGUGGAACUUUUUACCAAAGAACUUGUUUGAGCAGUUCCGAAGAAUUGCCAAUUUCUACUUCCUGAUCAUCUUCCUUGUGCAGGUGAUAGUGGACACCCCCACCAGUCCAGUCACCAGCGGCCUACCCUUAUGUUUUGUGAUUACAGUGACAGCGAUCAAGCAGGGCUACGAAGACUGGCUAAGACACAAGGCUGACAAUGAGGUGAACAAGUACCCUGUGACUGUGCUCGAAAACGGUCUGAGGCUACGGAAGGAGAGCGAGAAGAUCAAGGUGGGAGAUGUUUUGGAGGUAGCGGAAGAGGAGACCUUUCCCUGUGAUUUAAUCCUGCUUCGAUCCAGCCGGGAUGACGACACCUGUUUUGUUACCACUGCUAGUCUGGAUGGUGAAUCCAACCAUAAAACACACUACACUGUUCCAGACAUAGAGAAGGAUCUGGAAUCCCUCAGUGCCACUUUAGAGUGUGAACAGCCCCAGCCUGACCUUUAUAAGUUCAUUGGCCGUAUGCACAUCUACAAAAGCAAUCAAGAGCCUGCAGUGAGGUCUUUGGGCCCGGAGAACUUGCUGCUUAAAGGGGCAACUUUAAAGAAUACUGAGAAAGUAUGCGGUGUUGCCAUUUACACUGGCAUGGAGACCAAAAUGGCUCUCAAUUAUCAGGGCAAGUCUCAGAAACGCUCUGCUGUGGAGAAGUCCAUCAAUGCCUUCCUUUUGGUGUACCUUUGCAUUUUGGUGAGCAAGGCUCUGGUCUGCACAACGCUCAAGUAUGUGUGGCAAAGCAAGCCUGGGCAGGAUGAGCCUUGGUACAAUGAGAAAACCCAGAAAGUGAGGGACACCAAUCUGUAUCUAAAGAUGUUCACUGAUUUCCUGUCAUUCAUGGUGCUCUUCAACUUCAUCAUUCCCGUGUCCAUGUACGUGACGGUUGAAAUGCAAAAGUUUUUGGGAUCCUUUUUCAUCACCUGGGAUAAGGACUUUUUUGACCCUGAAAUCAAGGAGGGGGCGCUCGUCAACACCUCCGAUCUCAAUGAGGAACUGGGACAGGUGGAGUAUGUCUUCACAGACAAGACAGGGACCCUCACUCAGAAUAACAUGGAGUUCAUUGAGUGCUGCAUCGAUGGAUUCCAGUACAAGCACCGAGACGUGGACUCUGAAGUAGAUGGAUUUUGUGUCACAGAUGGGCCCGUGAACAGUCUGAAGGAAAAAGCUGGCAGAGAACGCGAGGAGCUGUUUCUGCGCGCCCUUUGUCUUUGCCACACGGUCCAGGUGAAAGAGUCCCCCGACCCGAGUCAGGUCCAAGACGGCAGGAUGGCCGAACAGGUAGAUGCCAUCGUACUCCCUCGGGUACUCCACCGUGUCCCUCUGGAUGAGAGGGGCUUCAUCGCAUCCUCCCCUGAUGAGGUUGCUCUGGUCAAAGGUGCCAUGAGGUAUGGCUUCACAUUUCUGGGUCUGGAAAGUAAAGCCAUGAAAAUCCUCAACAGGAGCCAUGAAAUUGAAGUCUAUGACCUGCUUCAUGUGUUGAAUUUUGACCCAGUGAGAAGACGAAUGAGUGUAAUUGUCAAAUGCAAAUCAGGUGAUAUUGUGCUCUUCUGCAAGGGAGCAGACUCCUCCAUUUUUCCUCGCGUCAGACAGGAGGAAGUGGAACCGAUACGUGUGCACGUGGAGCGGAAUGCAAAGGAGGGCUACAGAACACUGUGUGUGGCUUACAAACUACUUGGCACAGAGGAGUAUGCCCGGGUGGACGCGGACCUCAGGGAAGCUAGGCUGGCUCUGCAGGGCAGAGAGGAGAAGCUCAUGGCUGUUUAUAACGAGGUGGAGACGGGCAUGAGUCUCAUCGGGGCGACUGCUGUUGAAGAUCGACUUCAAGAGGAGGCCGCAGAAACUAUGCAGGCUCUGCAGGGGGCCGGCAUUAAGAUCUGGGUCCUGACGGGAGACAAAAUGGAGACGGCAAAGUCUACGUGUUUUGCCUGUCGCUUGUUUCAGAUGACCACUGAGCUGUUGGAGCUAACGGUGCGCACUCUUGAAGAAGGAGGUCGGAAGCGCGAGGAACGGCUGCACGAGCUCUUACUUGAGUAUCACAAGAAGGCGGUGCAGGAUGCGCCAUCUGUAGAAAAUGGCAUUGACGGGAACUGGUCGGUUUCCAGCCACGAAUACGGUUUUAUUAUUGAUGGAGCCACUCUAUCAAUGGUGCUUAACUCCACUGAUUCCAACUCCAGCCACUACAGGACCCUCUUCCUGCAGAUUUGUCAAAACUGCACCUCCGUGCUGUGCUGCCGCAUGGCUCCAUUGCAAAAAGCCCAGAUAGUAAAACUGGUGAAGAACUCGAAAGGCAGCCCGAUUACCCUCUCCAUUGGUGAUGGUGCCAAUGACGUCAGCAUGAUUUUGGAAGCUCACGUUGGCAUUGGAAUCAAGGGUAAAGAGGGUCGACAAGCGGUGAGGAACAGUGACUACGCCAUCCCCAAACUCAAGCACCUGAAGAAACUCCUGCUGGCCCACGGGCAUCUGUACUAUGUUCGCAUUGCACAUUUAGUGCAGUAUUUCUUCUACAAGAACCUGUGCUUCAUCUUACCUCAGUUUUUGUACCAGUUCUUCUGCGGCCAUUCCCAGCAGCCCCUCUAUGAUGCAGCCUAUCUGACGAUGUACAACAUCUGCUUCACCUCUAUGCCCAUCCUGGCUUACAGCCUCUUGGAGCAGCACAUCAGCAUCCAGGCUCUGCUGAGCAAUGCUCCUCUCUACAGAGAGAUUCGCAAGAAUGCCAUGUUGCGAUGGAGGCCCUUCCUCUACUGGACGUUACUGGGGGUCUUCCACGGUUUGGUCUUCUUCUUCGGUGUCCGAUGUUUGUUUCGAAAUUCGGCCCUGCAAGAUGACGGCCAGGUUUAUGGGAACUGGUCAUAUGGCACAAUCGUAUUCACUGUCCUCGUCUUCACUGUCACACUAAAGCUUGCUCUGGACACACGGCACUGGACAUGGAUCAAUCACUUUGUAAUAUGGGGCUCUCUUGCCUUUUACGUGCUUUUCAGCUUCUUCUGGGGGGGAAUUAUUUGGCCGUUUCUGAGGCAGCAGCGUAUGUAUUUUGUGUUUGCCACCAUGCUGAGUUCAUUGUCAGCCUGGUUGGUCAUCAUCGUCCUCAUCGUGCUCAGCCUCCUGCCAGAGAUCCUUCUGGCCGUCUUCCGCAAGCCCUUCACCCCAUUUACUCAGCAGAUGAAGCACCGCCUUCCUUCCUCGGGGACUUCUACUAUCUUCAUGUUGUCGCAGACCGCUAGCACUCAUGGCUUCUCUUGGAGUGACUGAGUACUUGAUGUUGGAGGAGCAGUGCGGAGGACGACUGAAGAGUCUAUGGCCAAAAUGACAAAAAAACCAUCCAGCUCGUCAAGUCUUUCAUUAUUCUGCGUGCUGUUGUAUCAGUCAGCCGUUUGUGUCCUCCCAGCUGUGUCUGCUGCUGCCGCAUGUUCAGCGCAGUGGGGUCAGUUCAGCACGUCUGAGCAUCCACGUCUGCAUGAGGCUCAAGUUGGCAACCACAUAAAAGACAUGCACCGCAAUCCCCCUUCUGGCCACUGCAGUCUGUGUGUCUAUGCGUGUGUAUGUUCGUGCCCUGCAGGGCAAGGGUGGGCCAACAUUUGUGCUCAAAAGUCAUCAUUUUUAUUCUUUUCACAAUGUCUAAAUUUUACCCACUCCUGGUACAUUAGGGGUUGGAGCAAAAUAUAUUCAAUGUCAUGCUCAAUGUCUUAGUCGCUACACUCUAAGUAACACAUCAUUAAAAAAUGUAAGCUUGAACUAAGGUAAGCAACUUAGAACAGUUACUGUAUUUACGAUUCUGGUUUCCUGUUGAAAAAGGCAAUUUUUCCAUGUUCACAUGUCUCGCUGUAUCGUCUUUUUGUGUAUUUUUACCGCUUGUGUCUGACGGCAAUCAUAAGACCGAUGAAGACAAUGUCUGUCUCUGUGUUUGUGCGUGUGCUUGCGUGAGGGGCCAUGAGGGACGCGAUUCAGGAUCAUCUCUUUAUACCCACUACAGAAAGACUUUCCUUCAUUCCAAAACCAAAUUGUUUCGGGCUCACAUUCACAGGUGGAACGCUCAUACGUACGCCGGUGAAAGCCUCAUUCUCCCAAAACGCUCUUGUUUGCAGCAGAUUUUUUUUCUUGCUGAUACAGUUGUGAAACGCACGCACACAUACACGCAAACGCAACUAAAACACUGUCAUUCACAAAAACGCACCAAAGGAAAAACAAUUUCGCUCACAUACACUAACCAAAAACACUUACUCCAGCGCAGUGGUUCUUAACCUUGUGAGGUACCGAACCCAACCAGUUCAUAAUCACAUUCACCGAACCCUUCAUGAGUGAAAAUUAGAAAUAAUAAUAAUGUAAAUAAUCAUGCGUCUGUUUUUUUUUUUUUUUUUUUUUGCUUGACAUAGUUGGCAUGUAUUAGAAAAAAAAUCACACGACGUACUGUCACAGUCGACAGUCACUCGUUGAUGACUGAGCGAGCUAAAUUUCCCGCAGCACUCGCUAGAAAAUGGGCGGCAGAUGACCCGUGGCUGUAGUUUGGAACAUCAAGACAAUUUUUUGGGGGUGGGGGGCUGUGGGCUUAGACACAAUACUGAAGUGCUCUCACAUUGCUGAAAUUCUCUCGUCACGCUAAACGAAAAUUUUCAUUUUUAGUUUAGAAGUACAUUUCAGCAUGGUGUGUCAUCGGAUUUCAACUCUUAUAUGUCCGAGCGUUUCAUUUUGGCUUGUGUGCCCCCCCAAGAAGAGUCUUUCAAUAAUGGGUGUUUGAGGUCAUCCUGAAGUAGCUCCUCGAUUUCCCCUCAUAUGCUUGCCAGCUUAGUUACGUCAAUGGUGUCCUCUUGCCUCACCCUUCUAGAGGAAUCCAGUUGAGUCGAAUGUGGGGGCCGUCCCGUCCCCGCUGUCGUCAACCAGGCCCCUGCUCAUGAGAACCUUUACAGAUGAGUCCAAUAUGGUCAUUUAAACAGGUACCAGUCCGCUCCUGGGCCUUCGAAGCCAAUCUAAGACUGGCUACCCACUCAAGCCCCCGUCAGCUGAUGUCUUCACAGUCCCGACUCCUAACUUAGUCUUACUAGGCACCCAACCCCAAACAAGAUGUGGUGUGUGGCUUUGUGUUGUGAACGUUGAGAUCGGUUGGCUGAAGAGAUGCAUUAUUUCGAGCAAAUUUGUUAAAAUUCUUCAAGAGGUAUGCAAGUGGUUGCAAAAAUCAUCUCUUUUGACCAAAUUGCUCCUUUCAGCCUCCCUUUUGAUGCCUACUCGCUCUCACCCCUCAGCAUCCGCUUUAAAAAAAAAUCGAAAUGUUUCUUUUGAGUGUGAUGAUGAUGAUGCCAACGUUGUUGGGUUUCCACACCCGUCAGUGCGAUUGUGUAUUUGCUGUUGAAGUGCUGUGACGUGAUCAUGUGUGCAUGUUGGAACGAUGCCUUCAUUGUUGGUGUCAACCUCGGGCACGGUGCAAAUGUCACAUGAUUUUAAGAAUUACCCGUGGCUACAGCACUCAUCGUGGUUCUUUUCACAAUCAAAAAUUGCUAACCCUAUUGCAUUCUGUAUUUAUUUUUGGUGAACCAUCUUAAGGAGCCAUUGUUCAGACAUUUUGAAGAAGUUUAUAUUUUCUUUACAGGUUGCGUAUUUGUUGUUUUUUAUGGGGGGGGGGCUUUAAAACGGAUUAAUGGCACUUUGAGUCUGUUCAAUGGGGACGGUGAUUUGAGAUAUGAAUGUUUUGAGUUGCAAGCAUGGUCGCGGAACAAAUGAAAUGAUCUCAAACUGUGUUUGACAAGCGAUUCAUUUUAUAGUCUGUUUUCUUAUUUUGACUUAAGCAACAACCAGUUACAAGUGUUCAAUAUCCAAAUGGUACGAACAAAAGUCUAAACCUAAUUCUGAUAACAUCAACGCUGAUGAAUUAAAACACUUGUGAAAAGAACCAGGAUGACCACAUUUUAAUGAGUGGGGGUGUUCUGGUUACUAACUACUCUUAACACUUUGGGUUUUCAGUGUCCAAAAUGUUCAUAUUGCUGGAGGUUAAAAUGGCUGCCAAACUGUCGAGUGGUAUUUUUGGCAACAUUUUUGCACAACGAUACAAGCAACAUCCUAUGUCACGCUUCCUUCGGAAGCUGCAAACUUCCACCUAUUCUCUCUUGCAAUGUGAACAUUGGAGCUUGUAGCCAUUUUGUUCAUAGUUGUCACGAUGUUUUUUUUUGUGAGUGCGUGUGUGUGUAUAUGAGUGCGUAUGUGUUUGGACCAUAUUCUGUUGUGAGAGCAAAGUGUGUGACCACCACUUUUGAAUGUGCUGCUGAACAAUGGCAUCAGGCGCUUAACCCCCAUUUCUGUUCUCCAACUAGCUGCCCGACGGUGACCUCCUGUGCACAUCCAGGCUGCAGCUGUGGCAACCAUCUCUUACAAGCAACUGAAGGCUCGCCAGUGAACAGAUGCAGCGGCGGUGGCCACAUUUCAGGGUUUCGUGCCAAUCAGGUCAGACGCGUGACCACCGCGGGAGGAGGCAAAACGGCACUUCUGACUCUGGGUUGGGGGGAAAGAAAACCUCAACUCUCCGUCCUCCUUUGUUCAAUUUUAACAACCUAACGUACACAACAUGCCGGCCACUCCUGACUGUAGAGCAGCGCGAUGCAUUCUUUUGUAAAUGUUUGUCAUACAGUCCGAUGACAACUAUUUUGUCUUUUGUCUACAAAUGAAUGCGUACACAGCUGCCUUGUCCCGAGCUCUGACUGCUGUGUUUUAACAAGCAGUCAUAACGUUACCACUCAAACCACUCGAUUGCAGGGGCGGGGAAAUAAUAUUUACAGAAAAAAGUCUUUGUUAAAGCAGUGCUUUCAAGAUGACAAGAUAAGGCCAAUGUGUGUUUAAUGUUUGUUUUUUUUCCGGCAGAUAUAACACUUCAUUCUUUUUGUCUGGAUUUUUUUCAAUCACUAAGUCUGCAAAUUUGUUGCUCAAGGUGGAGAGUUUCCUGAGACCCUGUCCAUGCGCUCUAAAGUCC